UUGAAAAAAAAAUCGAUUACCCAAAUCAGUAACAUCAUUCAGCCCAAUAUCUCCUUCUCUCUCUCUCUCCUCAGAACCUUCAACGCCAAAACCUUCAACCGCCGCCGCAUCAACCACCCUUCUAAAACUCCUCCCAAGUUCUCUAUGCUCCGCAUCAACCACCCUUACAUGUUGUGUAAUUUGGUAACUCAUCAAUUCUUUCUCCCUUAAACUUCAAUUCCCGAGAAUCUGAGAUUUUUCAAGAAUAGAGAAUGAUUGGUGGUUUUGCUUAUACUCCGUACCGGCCGAAAAGAGGACAAUGGGUAUUAAGGGCAAGGAACAAGGGGAAGUAGAAAUGGGCAGAGGGGAUAUGCUAAUGGUCUAUUUCAAUUCAUGGUUGCUUAUUUGGGAGGAGAUGAUUUAGCGGUGAAAGAUGAUUACAAGUAGGAGUUUUUAGCCCAUUUUGCGCUGACGAGUUUGAUAUCGUGUAGUUGUUUUUCCAUAUGGAUGAAGAGCAUCAAGUGGAAUAAAAAUGGGACUAUGCAAGCAAGCUACCAAUUUGCACAACGGGACGUCAAACACAACCGUCAGAGCAACAACGAAGGAUUAUCUUAUUGUGAAUGUAGCUGUAAGAUAUUUCAGCACAGAUUCGUAGGUUCUCCAUAGAAAUUUGAAUUUCCCUGAUUUCAGUGUAGUCAUUACUUUGAGCUAGAAUUAAAUAUUUAGUCUGUAUUCCUCAGCUUCUGUUUUAGAACACAAUUCUUA